CUACGGGUUGCUCCAGUGGGGAAUAUUGCACAAUGGGCGAAAGCCUGAUGCAGCAACGCCGCGUGAGCGAUGAAGGCCUUCGGGUCGUAAAGCUCUGUCCUCAAGGAAGAUAAUGACGGUACUUGAGGAGGAAGCCCCGGCUAACUACGUGCCAGCAGCCGCGGUAAUACGGAGGGGGCUAGCGUUAUCCGGAAUUACUGGGCGUAAAGGGUGCGUAGGUGGUUUCUUAAGUCAGAGGUGAAAGGCUACGGCUCAACCGUAGUAAGCCUUUGAAACUGAGAAACUUGAGUGCAGGAGAGGAGAGUAGAAUUCCUAGUGUAGCGGUGAAAUGCGUAGAUAUUAGGAGGAAUACCAGUUGCGAAGGCGGCUCUCUGGACUGUAACUGACACUGAGGCACGAAAGCGUGGGGAGCAAACAGGAUUAGAUACCCCCGUAGUC
rnacentral:rRNA from 1 species